AGACACACACACACACACACACACACACACACACACACACACACACACACUGUAGUGACCCAGACACAAAAAAUUCACACUGACAUAUAAAUGGCUUAACAGCACA